AAAAUUUCAAAAGUGUUUACACUUUUUUCUCCUUCAAUAUUUUAAAAUUGCGAUUGUCACGGCUGAAACCGCCUUAUCAUGUUAUUAAACGAGGUCUUAAAACUAAUUAAGAUAUCUACUAUAUUAUCCAAAAGAUCGAUCUGGUAGAAAAUAUGGGAGCUUACCCGAUGUGCUCGUAGUCAUGGCCGAGGGUGCAGAGGAAGUACUUGAGGACAAGGUCGUCGGCGGCAGCGGCGGCAUUGGCGGGGGAGAAGCGGAAGGAGAGGGUCUCCUUCCAGGGGAGCUUCUCGGAGAAGCGGCCGGUGAAGCUGCUGGCGUAGCCGCAGCUGUCCCCGGGCCGCCGCUGCGCGCGCUGCUUCUCCGGGAGCGGUGUCGCGAAGAACGCGGCGGCGCAGCGGUGCGCCUCGGCCAGCAGCCGCGCGGGCACGCCGUGGUUCACCACCUGGAAGAAGCCGUGCCGCUCGCAGGCCCAGCGCACGAGCGCCGCCGCCUCCGCCGCCGCCCCGGGCGCGCCGGAGAGGAACGCGCCGAGGUCGACCGACGGCACCCCCAGCUCCUCCUCCCCCGCCUCCGCCGCCGGCGCCUCCUCCGCCGGCCACACGAACUGCGCCGGGAUGUCGGCCUGCCGGCUCAGCACCGCCGCGUCGAACACCAGAGACGACGACGACGACGACGAAGAAGAAGAAGAAGAAGAAGAAGAAGGUGGUGGCGGCAUCGACGUCGGCAUUGAAGGUGGAGCAGAGGAGGAGGAGGAGGAGGAGAAGGUGGUGGGGGGAGGAGAGAGGAGAGGGAGGUGGGCCAUGGACGUGAGCCUUGGAGAGGCAAUGGCCAUGGAGAAGUGUAGAUAUAUAUAUAUAUAUAUAUAUAGAUUAUAGAGAGAGAGAGAGAGAGAGAGAGAGAGAGAGAGUGUAGGCGUGUGAUGUGUGGUGAUUUAGCUUUCUAUAUCCACUCUCUGGUUGUUGCAAUUUCUCUAUUCUUAUAUAUAUAUAUAUAUAUAUAUAUAUAUAUUAUAAAAGGAGAUAUUCUCUGUACGACCAAAAAAUUUUGAGUAAGCAUAAAUUUUUUUUCUGUUGUAAACACAAAGAGGAAUUAAAAGUUUGUUUAAUUCUGUUAUUUAUUUUACGUAUGAAUAGAGAAAGAAUUAUUUUAUUCCCGCCAAAAAAAAUGAGUCUAGCUCGGACAGAAGGUCGAAAUUUAAAAUACGUGGCUUUAUAUAUAUAUAUAUAUAUAUAUGGAGAGAGAGAGAGGGGGAGGGUGAGGUUUGAUCAGCUGUUGUGUACGAAAAAAUCUACAGUUUCACACUUACAGCUCAUUAUCAAUAAUAAGUUAAUUAUAUUUUUUUUAUAAAAAUAUUAAUAAAAAUAUUUUUUUAUAAUUAUGAUGGUGCACAUAAAUUCAAAAAAAAUUAUUUGAUUGGUUCGGAACGUCAUGUCACCAAUAUAAUUGAUACAUUCUAAAAUUUUUUCUUAUAUAGAUAAUUUUUAUAAUUAAUUAAUAAGAAAAAUUUUAAAUAUCAUUUUUGUGAUUUCGCACUUUCUUAUUUUAAUACCUUAUGGUUUAAAGUGUAUCAUUUUCGUACUCCGUGAUUUUAUUUUUCUCUUUUUGUCUAUAUAUUACGGAUACUUCUAUAAAUCUCACGUCCGUAUUAGAUACGCGUGUGUACACUUUUUAAACGAGUGUUAACUGACAAUUCAUAACGCAAACAAUUAAAAAAAUAUAUAUACAUAUUUUUAUUUUACUUUUUUUAUGCAUAUAUAACAUAAGAUGGCAAAUAUUUUAGUUUUUUAAUGAAUGCAAACAAAUUUUUUUUCAUAAUAUAAAUAAAUUAUAUAUACCGGAGAAUUUUUAUUUUAUUACUAAUGAAAAUUUUACUAACUUUCAUUUAUAUAUAUAUAAGAAAUAUAAUAAUAUUUUACGAAAAUUAAUAUUUCAUACUAAUAAAUAUAUAUUAUUAUAUUAAUAAUAUUAUAUUUUAUUAGCGGCAUCUAUAUCGUGUCUGUAUCCUAAUUUUUUGAAAAAUGACAAGUCGCCGUUUCCGAGUUGUGUCGCGUCCCUUAUCCCGUAUCAGUGUCCGUGACGCUUAGCUUUUUGUUAUCUCCUUCAAUAAUUUUUUUUGUUAAAUUAGUGACAUAGUUAAAACGAAAGGCCAGUAAAAUGAAUAUUCGAUAAAUUAUAGGUAGAGUAUCUGAAAUUUUUUAUAUGUGAUUUAACAAAAAGUUAACGAAAGAACCGACGAAAAGAAAAAAAUAAAACCACAGAAUAUUAAAUUGAUACAUCUUAAACUACAGAAUAUUAAAGUAAGAAAGUGUAAAACAACAUAGACGGUAUUUGAAGUUUACCCAAAUUAAUAACUCUCUUUUUUGGUGUCUUAUCAUAUGGGUAAUCUCCUGAUAACUCAAAAUAAAUGCGACAUAGCAGUUGAUCAGUCAAUUUUUUAUAAAUUUUAAAUAUUAUAUUAAAAUUUUGACUCAUGAAAUGUAUUUUACGAGAUAUUUUAGAGCCCAAUUGAGCUGACUCAGUAGGAAAAAAAAAAAAGAAUUUAACGGGUUUGAGGUGUCGAUCAAAUAAUUCUUUACGAUGGAAUAUUUAUAGAAUCCUAUCGAAGAACAUUGGCUCUCUAUAACAAUUAUAACAUGUAGGAUUUAUUCGUGGCCGACCCAGUUGAUAUGUAUUAGAUGGAAAAAAAAAGGUUAAACUUUAAAUAACAUCCACGUGGUUUCAUACUUUUUCACUUUAGUGCUCUGCGAUUUAAAGUGUAUCGAGUUAGUGUCCUGUGGUUUCAUUUUUAUCUUUUCAUCAGCUUUUUCGUUAAUUCUUUAUUAAAUUUAUACAAAAAAUUUCAAAUACCCACCUAAUUUUGUUGAAUAUUCAUUUUAAUACCCUUUAGUUUUAACUUUAUCACUGAUUUAGCGAAAAUCAGUGGAAUCGAUAAUAAAAAGAUAAAAAUGAAAUCACAGGACACUAAAUUGAUACACUUUAAAACAUAUGGUACUAAAGUGAGAAAGUGUGAAACCACAUUGUUGGUAUGUGAAGUUUUCCAAAAAAAAAAGAGGCUAAAUUAUAGAAAACUCUCUAUCAAAAUCCGAUUUUUUACUUUCCCUCCCUGUCAUUUAAAAACCUACACUUUACCCUCCUAAAAAAUAAAAAAUGUUCAUACGGGCUACGGUGUUAAUAGUAUUGAUAAAAUGACUAAAAUGCCCUCUCCUUCUUCCUCUUCUCCCAUAAUCCUCCUUUAUCUAUAGAAGGGUAUUUUCGGUAUAAAAAAUAUAUAAUAAUGGAAUAUAGAUGGAACCCUAACGGAACACUAACGGCAGGAUCCAAAGUGAAUAUUUUUUAUUUUUUAGUGGGGGCAAAGUAUAGAUUUUUAAAUGACAGAAAGAAAAAGUGAAAAAUCGAAUUUUGAUAGAAAGAUUUUCUGUAAUUUAGCUAAAAAAAAUAAUAAACAAGGGCAAUAUGGUGAAUUCAAGUUGGAGUGAUGCGAAAGAAAAACUUUGUUAAUUAUUGCACUUUUAUUAUAAUAAAAAUAUUUGAUUUGAUAUUAUAUUUGCUACUUACAGUGUCUUAUGUAGUGAAGGCUUUUUAUGCAUCCAAGAGAUGGAUUAAGAAAAUUUUAAAAUUUACUUUGUAUUCAUCGCGCCAACUCCCUACUUAUCGUGACCCCGAAUGCCUCUGAGUUGUUAGAUUUUUUUUUUUUUUUUUCUCUUUCUUAUAUCAGUCUCUUGUAUUAUAUAUUUUAGAUUAAAAUGUAUGAAAUUUAUUUUAUUAUGAAUUAUUUUAAGUUGACCAUCUAAUUUUUCAAUUUACUUGAUUUGUUUCGGUCAAUAGUACUUUAACUUUAAAAUUUGAAUACGUCAAUUAUGUUUACAGGUUUAGUUACUAUACUUCAUGCGAGUCUCACAACUGCAACUUUAUUAAAGUACGCAAAUAACUUAAAUUGAAAGGUUCGGUAAUGAAAUCAAACUUUUAGAAGGUCGGAUAGUCGACUCAAAAUGAUCCAUAGUGCAGAUAAGUUCUGAAUACCAAACUUAGAUGAAGUGAAUCCACGGGAUGAUGGUGAUUGGGAUUUUGCUGAACAAGUUGGGAUGUGAUCUUGUAAAACUCCAUGUUUGGUGUUCAAAAUGGAGCAGCAAAACCUGGAACUACUACAUCUUGCCAUUAGAAUACAAAAGUGGGAAAAGAUUAGCAGAAGAGAUUAUAGCUGUGCUAAGACAGGAUAAAAAGUGAAUAAAGUAAUGGCCUCCACUUAAUAAUGCAGCAGAUGAGUACAUGCAAGAAAAGUACAGCAACACUUUGCUGUUUUUAUAUUGGAAUGUGUUUUUGGCUCAAUGCUUGUGAUUUAGCAAAAGAGGUAAUCAUUUAGUUAUUUGUGUUAUUUAGUGGUGUCAAUGGUGACCACAUGAGCAGAGGGGAUUGGAUUAUUAAUGAUCUAGUCCCCAUUUGGUUUAGAACUUGCUCCUAUUUUGCUACUAAUUAGAAUCUUCAGUUUUGCCCUAUUGCUCCAGCGAUCUUUGCUUCUGCUUUUAGCUAAAGUUAUUUUUAGUAUAAUAUUUAACACACGAAAAAAAAAAAAAUAGAACUUCUGCUGUAGUCGAAAGCUAAAAUAAGAUUUUGAUCAAAUUCGAAUUCUGCUGUAGCAACUGACGUACCUCACAAGGGGGCCAAUAGGCACUAAAGUCAAUUUUAUACUAUCAUUACCCAAACACUUUUUUUUUUUUCUUGUAACAAUUUUUUUACUUUGAGAAGCAACAUUAUGUAGGCAAACAUAGGGGUAAUGCUUUUCCAACAAAAAUCUCUGAGUAUAAGAGAUUUUGGUUCAAUAAUAAUUAGUUAUUAUUAUAGUUUCUUUCAACAGCUUUUGUCUCAUAUAAUUUUUUUUUUGAGAGAAAGAUAUCAUGCUACUCUGAUUUGUUUAUUUCUCUUAAAAAUAAACUUAACUUAAAAUGUAAAGAAACCAGACUUCGAACUUGCGACCUCGGGUACCAACCACCAAUUUUUUUACCUCUUGUGUUAGGGACGGUCGGUUGUCUCAUAUAAUAUUUUGAGCCCUUUGUUUGGAUGUAUAGGGCAUAUUUAUUAUAAUAUAGCCUAUGCUUUAAAAAAUGUUCAUUAGAAUGAGAUGGUAUUUCCAUUUUUUUUUUUGUUUUUUUUUGGUGAAAGAUGAAUCACUUCUGAGGAGAAGUAUACAAUGCCCAUAAAUAUUGGAUAAUUAAGUUCUUGAAGCUCAUAGGAUUCUCCGUUUAGGUUCUUCACUAUUAAUUCUGUUCUUUAUAAUUUGGCUCUUCAAAAGAUUCUCAACAACAAGUUGAGGAUUUUUUUUUUUUUUAUUAUCAAAGUUAGAAUAGUAUAUGAGCCUAAAAACAUCUGAAAUAUUCUCCCAGGAAGAGACAAUUAUGUAACAGGGAUAUUUAGCCUACCAUUCAUCACUUGAAAUGUGUGAAAGGAUGAUGUAUUAGCUAUAAUGUAUGGCACAUCAAUAGGAGGUCUCUUCUGUGUUACUUUGUGUUUUGGUGCACAAGGGCUCUACAUUCUAAUACUAAUAGCUUGGACUUAAAAAUUUGGACCGAUUGUUUAGACCCAACAUAUUACUAUUACAAGUGGGCUGAAUCGUUAUAUUUGGUAUUCGAGUCAAAUUGCAAGUCAAAAGCGUAGACUAGGUUUCACGUAACCUAGUUUUUUUUUUUUUUUUUUUUUUUUUUUUGAGAAAAGAUAGCACGCUAUCCGCUUCAUUCAUUAAGUGAGUUGAAUUAAGCAUACACGAUGGAAACAGCCAAGGCCUCCUGAAAAAAGCGAGAAAAAACAGAGCGUGAGAGGAAAAAAAAGAGAAAAGAAAAAGAAAAAGAAGAAGUUACGUCGACAAAAGUUCAGUGCGGGCAACCGAAGUUCAGCUAUCUAGUGUUGACCAAGAUCGAUCCAUUAUUGCCUCAGUGAUUUGAUCCGUUCUAGCAUAUAGUAAGGUGUGGUGUAUUUUGCUCUGAAAAUGAUGUUGUUCAUUUCGGUCCAGACUACCCACCAGAUAGCUGCGAGAAGGGUUAGUUUUUUAUUUCUCUUCUUGGCGUUUUCGAAGCAUAGACAUCUUUUCCAGAGUCCCCGGGCCGCCUCUGUAGGCUCAGUUAAAAUGUCAAGUUCUUCCAAAACUAGUAGUAAAUAUAUAAAUAACACACAAGUAGUGAAGAGGUGAUCGCAAGUUUCCAUGCCAUAGGCACAGAAAACGCAAAGUUGCUCUCCGAGCAACUCCCGUUUGAAAAGCCUAUCUGCUGUGAGAAUGCUCUCACAUCACUUGGUUAUUAUCUGUAUUAUACCACCGACUCUUCUUACGAGAAUGUCUGGGUCCAAACGAGUUGAGUUUGUGACUUCCUAAUAGUUAUGAAACGUCAACGUCUAAAUAGAAAGAUUUAAUAGUGUUUCUUCUGAUAGUACUUCUGUGAUAGCACUUCACCAUGUAACACUUUAUUCUAUAACAGGGUUAAGUAGGACCAUAACAUGCAAGAGUAUCUCCACACAUCAACUCAACUUUCUAAAUUGUUUUAAGCCUUUAAAUAACAUGCAAGAGUAUUUAAGAGCCUUUGGUCUCAUCAAUAGCCCACAAACAAAAGAGGGUUCCACAUUUUUUUUUUUUUUUUCCUCUAUACUUAUCCCAAUCCCCUAUUUUAGUUUUGUUCAAUCUCAAACUUCUUUACAGCUAGGUCAGUAGCUAACCAUUGGAUCAUCACCAACCACUAUCAUAAGAACCCUUUUGACUCCUCGAAUUGGAGCAGAUAGGAGAAGACGAAAUAAUAAUAUUGGGAUAUAAGGAUUUUAGCAACUAUGAGGCGUCGCUAAUCAUAAAAGAUUGGCAUGCCAAAUCCAUUAUUUGAUUUCAUCUAGCGUUCGUGAUUGGACAAGAUUGGGUUCGGAAAUUUGUUCAUACUCCAGAAGCUCACCCCCGUUGUGUUUUUUUUUUUUUUUUUUUUUUUUUGACGUUCGACACCUUCAAGCGGUAAAUGCUCCAAUUUGUUUUUUCAAAUAGUAGUCUCUUAUUUUAUUCUAUCUAAACCAAUUUUAGAUGCCAAAUCAGCAUAAAGAUUUUUUUCUCAUUAAUCAUUGAGGUAUUUUCUUCUUGAGUUAAUGAAAAUUCAUCUAAUUCACAAGAGUGUCAUUACAUACUGUACAGCCGUCCGGCGAAUUAUAUUAUUUUUCGAGUACUUCGGAAGGACUAGUUACGCCUAAUAGAUUUAGGGUUUACGGUUUAGGAUUUAUGCUAAAAAGUAUUUACCAUGUGCCACAUUUUAAGGACAUAGCUUGGCCGCAACCCUGACUAAGGCUAUUAUUUGUAAAGCCCCCAAUAGUCCCACAUCGGAUGGGAUAAUGAUUCCGAUCUGUUUAUAUGAGGCUUACAUGCUAGUAAUAAUAACUUAGCUUAAGCAUUUUGAGCUGGUGAUUUGGAUCCAACGAGUUAUUGUUGCUAGUGAGUCGGCUCAUUGCAUUUGGUAUCAGAGUGGAAUACCUGCCGGAAGUGUGAGAGCUAAGUGCUAUGCGGGACCCGACGAGGACAUGCUAAUAAUAAUAACUGGGCUUAAAGCAUUUUGAACCGGUUGUUUAGAUCCGACGAGUUUUUGUUGCUGGUGAGUCGGAUCGUUACAUUUGAUAUCAGAGCCGAAUACCAGUUGGAAGUGUAAAAGCUAAGUGCUAUGCGGGACAAAGUGCUACACCAACGGAUUUGGUGGGAGCCACCUCUUGAACCCGUAGGAGUCACCUCUAGAAUCUCACAUCGCCUGAUAAUUCUGGUCCUGAUCUGCCUGUCUGUGAUCUGAUUUGGACACGACGAGAACGAGAACGUCAGGUUCUAAACAGGGGGAGUUUGUAACGCCCCCAAUAGCCCCACAUCGGAUGGGAUACUGAUUCCAAUCAGUUUAUAUGAGACCUACUCGCUAGUAAUAAUAACCGGACUUAAGCAUUUUGGGCCGAUGAUUUGAGCUCAGUGAAUUAUUAUUGCUAGCGGAUCGGGUUGUUGCAUUAUUAACACCAAUAGAGAAGUAUCAUAGAGACCAUAUCGGGUUGUUGCAUUAUUAACACCAAUAGAGAAAGUAUCGUAGAGACCAUUUAAGUACUAAAGGUGUCUCGCACUAAGGAAAAUGUUCCUCUAAAGUAUAUUUUCCCAAUACGAAAAAUAAAAAAAAAUAUUCAUAACAAGAAAUUCCAAACAUCCCUAGUGAUUGUUUCAAAUUGCAUUCUGUGCCUUAGCUGUAGUUCAAUGAAAGCACCACUAGCAUCUGACCUGAAUCAAAUGUACUUAUAUUUGUUCCCAUACUAAUGGGUCCAACCCAGCAUCUAAAUAUUGAUAUGAACCAAUUGUGUGGGUGCCAAAAGAAUAAGGUGGGACCUAUUGUUCUAGCCAUUAGUAACAUGGGUGUUUUUUUUGUUUUUUGUUUUUUGUUUUCCUUUUCUCAUGGCAAUGGAUUGCAUUUCUUGUUGGAACACACCGCAAAACAGAUUAAGAUCAUAGUUAUUGAUUUUGUUUGAGUUUAACAUUUUCGCUUUACCAUUUAGUUAUGUAGCCUCAAAAUCAAAAGUUUCAAAGUAGCAACAUAUAUUGUAGUUGUAAAUCUAUUAUUUCAAUGAACCAUCUUUUUUGUUAUAUUGUUCUAUAUCUAACUAUCAUAUCAGAAAUACACAAUAGAAGUCUCAAAGUGGUCUCAGCUGAACUUCUCACUAGAAAAUCAUUGAAAUCCGACCUAGUCUGACACGUUGUGUCAAGAACUUAAUUUUAUUUAUACAGUUUUGAAUUUCUAAAUAUAUUAGAUAUAUUGAAGCGCAUCCAAGUAAAAAGGUGAAUGUAUUGCCAAUUAUCAACCUAGACUCUUUUUUAGGAGGGUUGAAAAGCAAG
rnacentral:lncRNA from 1 species